rnacentral:lncRNA from 1 species
CGGCCUUUGCUCUCACCGGGGUCGAGCCGCGGCGAGGGAACGGAUCGGAGACGCUGCGCCUGCUCAGAAGGAAAUGCCUCAGGCCAGAAGAAGCAGUGGCAGCCUCUCACCUGCAGUGGGAUCUGUCUCAACUCCCAUUCCGUCUCCAGAGCCAAAGUUUGGAGGGAACGUGAGCUCGGGUCAGGACACACCAGGACAGCCUCAUCCACCACACCACAGGCUCCAGACAGGUGCUGCAGCCACGGAGUUGAAACCCUAACCUACAGAAAAGUCAUCGUUAACAGGAAGCUCGUGAAAGAUUUUUACAUUUCCCUCUCAGCCCAACAGCAAUAUUGCUGCCAGCAUCCCACUGGGGGUCCUAAGCUCAAAGGUUCUUCAUGGUUGGUUGUAUAGGAGUUCUUCCUGUCCCCUGAAACCCCACCCUCCAACCUCCUGAGAGCCUUCAAAGUUGGAAAAAAUAUCAGGAUUUUCUUUCUGGUCACUGGAAAAAUAUAUCCGAUAAUUUUAAAUACCUGGC